rnacentral:lncRNA from 1 species
UGUCUAUAAGAAUGCCUCUGUGAUGCUCCGCCCUCGACUUGUGGACCUGAUUCAAGCAGCAUCUCUCUUCAAAUCUCCAUCGAACUUGCAGAGGUGUCUAGUGUUUGUACGUUGGUUCCUGUCACUCAACCAAGUGAAUUAAUCCAGGUGCGCUGGUCUCGAAAUCGAGUGGCAUCCCCUAAAUACCUCAAGUUAGCUUGCAGAGAUCUCUUUUGUGUGCACACUGAUUUCUGUCACUUAACUCGGAGAAUUCGUUUUGGUGCGCUGGUGUCAGAAUGCACAGUCGUUACAGUUUUUCAAGGUUGCUGUACAUUUUCAUGACUGAAUAGCUUGAGAGAUUUGUCGCACUUUUCUAUUGAUCACGUGCGGGAGAAGAAUUCCUUCGGUGUCUCCAGAUAAGAUAGCAGGUCCAGUUGUAUCUUGAUAGUGUCCUUCGCCGCUGAUAAUGGUUAUUCUCACAGCUGUGAGUUGGCAGACCUGAGGACAGAGACAGGGAGUAGACAUACCAUUUUUUGGCUCGGCACUCGCUGGAAAGCUUCCAAAACGAUGGAAUCCGGCUCUGUUGCGAACGACUCUGGCCCCUUGAAUUCUACCCCAGACG